AAUCUUACAAUCUCAUGUUCCAAGGAUCUCUUGGUAUCUCGCACCCUCAGUCCAGAACAUAUCCAGUGCAGGGGGAUCUCCCAUAAGGCCAACCGAUAGUACCAAUUUAAAAGCACACAAUAGCAACCCAAACAUUAGGAAAGAUACUUACUCAGGAGAAGAAAUAGAAAAAUCUAGCCAAACAUACUACGCAGAGUACAAAUAAGACAUAUUAAACACUUAUGCAAGCAAGUCAAAUGAACAUGCUUCUCUAAACGAGCAUAGAAUAAAUUUACAAUUUAAAAUAAACAGAUAAGCAAGAAAACUCAAUUUAAAUACUUCGAGUAAAAAAGGGAUUUUCCAAUAAUUUGCUCAAGUACACGCUUGUCACCUCACGUAUGAGGCACUCAGUUAACAAACAUUAUAUCCUAAGGGGAAGGUCUCUCACACAAGGUUAGACAAGCCACUUACCUCAAUUGGCUCCAAAAUCAACUUGAAAUUACUCUUUUUCCACGAGUAUCUGACUCCAAAUGACCUGAGUCUAUUCAAUUUAAUUACAUCUCGUAAAUAAUAUCGCAAACAACUGAUUCCACUAUUCAAUUUAAAGCUAAGACGCAAAUUUAGGUAAAAUAACCAAAAUGCUCCUUGGUCCAACUUGGUCAAAACCCGAGGUUUGAACUAAAAUCCGAUUACCAUUCCCCCACGAAUCCAAUUAUGUGGUUAGUUUUGAAAUCGGACCUCGAAUUAAGGUUCAAACCCCAAUUUUGGCAAAACCCUAAGUCCUACCCAAUAUACCCAAAUUUCCCAUUAAAUCUUCGAUUUGACGUUGAAAUUAUGCUAAAAGGUGUUAAGGAGUGAAGAAAAUGAGUUAGAAAUCGCAUAUUAUAUUUUGGGUUUUUAAAAAGUGAGAAAUAACUAAAAAUCCCGUGUAUUUAUACUUUUGGAUGCACCCAGCGCGGACAGCACAAAAAGGACCGCGGCCGUGCUGGUGGAACUGAAGACUGCUGGCUUUGUGAAGCUUGCAGCCCGGACCGCGCGAGGACGGUCGCGGCCGCACAACGCACACCACAGACCGCGCUAUGGCGACUGCUUGCGCGCUGGCGCCUGCAACUUUUCCUGACCUGCAAUAUCUAGUGCUUUUAAAUCUAAGACCUCCCAGAACCAACUCGAAACUCAUCCGAGCCCUCGGGCUCCAAACCAAACGUACGCACAAACUUAUGGACAUCCUACGAACUCAUCCGCACGAUCAAAUCACCAAAUAAUAUCAUAUACAUCGAAUCAAGCCUCAAAGUUCAUGAUUCGUUCUCAAAUUUUUUUCAUAAGACAUAAAAUUCUCAUUUCGGGUCCGAAAUAUGUCAAACGACGUCCGUUCUCAACCAAACUUUACAGAAAGUGCUUCAAUCAUAUAUAAGACUUG
rnacentral:lncRNA from 1 species